GUUGCUUCUCAGCCUUUUGGCUAAGAUCAAGUGUAGUAUCUGUUUCUUAUCAGUUUAAUAUCUGAUGUGUCCUCUAUCGGAGGACAAUAUAUUAAAUGGGUUUUUGGAACUAGGAGGUGAAAUAGCUUGCUCCAUCCACUCCACACAUCCCCCUGGUAUUGCAGUACCUCCAGGAACGGUGCAACCACC